rnacentral:rRNA from 1 species
CCUACGGGGUGCAGCAGUAGGGAAUUUUCGUCAAUGGGCGCAAGCCUGAACGAGCAAUGCCGCGUGAACGAGGAAGGUCUUCGGAUCGUAAAGUUCUGUUGAAGGGGAAAAAGAGCGGAGAGAGGAAAUGGUCUCCGAUUGAUAUUACCCUUCGAGGAAGUCACGGCUAACUACGUGCCAGCAGCCGCGGUGAUACGUAGGUGGCGAGCGUUAUCCGGAAUGAUUGGGCGUAAAGGGUGCGUAGGCGGCCUGCUAAGUCUGGAGUGAAAGGUACCGGCUCAACCGGUACAGGCUCUGGAAACUGGCGGGCUAGAGAGCAGGAGAGGGCGGUGGAACUCCAUGUGUAGCGGUAAAACGCGUAGAUAUAUGGAAGAACACCAGUGGCGAAGGCGGCCGCCUGGCCUGUUACUGACGCUGAGGCACGAAAGCGUGGGGAGCAAAUAGGAUUAGAUACCCUAGUAGUC